CCAACAUCAACUGUAGGAGAGAUAAUCAGCAGACUUUUCAAAACAGACUGGACUGACCCUGAAAUGAGGGCAUCUGGAUGUGUGUGCAGUUAAUUAGGAGUUUCCAAAAGCCCAACAGAAAGAACCCCCAAACCAUCUGAUGAGCUAAUGCUUCUACAAGCUGGGUUAGGAAGAAGGACUGUAACUGUCCCAGAGGAUGCUGGCCAUAAUGAGGCAUGUUGUAUGACACUUAAUGAAUUAAGAACUGAAAUUUGAACAAAAAUAUCGUUAACCUAUACUAAAACAGCAUAUCCAGUGAAAACAGUAGCCCCAAUCUUAGCCACCAAAACCAUUUCAUUUAUUCUUGGAAUGCUGCCAAUAAGUCUAAUGUACAGAUUUGUCUUAAGCUCAUUGAUUUGAUAUAUAUUUGCUAAUCUUACUUACAUGCUUUAAAUUCAUAGAUUACACACAUUCUUUCUGAGACAUAUCCGCAGAUGUCAGAACUGGAGGGUGCCUGGAUGCUGCACAAAGCCAUGGGAGGAUCAGGUCAAUGGAAACUCAACUUGUUGACACCUGAAGAGGAUGGAUACACAGGGGCCAGCCUUGUAAAGAGCCGUGGAGGCAAGGGCUGUCUUAUACAUUAUGCCCAUCCAGAACACACUGGACAUUUCUCCCCUACCCUUCACAGCUCUGGAGUUCCAGGCCAUGCCCGGUGUGUGUCAUGCCAGGAGUAUGUGCCCCUGCAGCUCCAUGUCAAGACAUGUAUCCAGUCUAAAGUCAAG